UCAAUAUAACAUCACAACCUCCAUAUACUACGUGCUUAUAAUUUUCAGAACCACAAACACCCUCACUCUUUUCCCCAUUCAUGGCCACAACAAUACACCCUCAUCCCCUUUUCUUUCAACUUUUAAACACCAAAUUCAAGCUUCAUUUCCACAUUUCAUGAUGAUCUAAGAGUGCAAAGCUUAGGAGCUUGGUUGGAGCUUAAAUCUCUUCUUAAUAUUCUUAUUUGGCUUGUGCAAAGUUGAAACAAGUCUUGAGCCGGUGAUACACUACGGGAAACGGUAAAGUCAUUGACAACGAUAGCCGCUUUUGGAGGGUUUGUAUUAUAUAUCCCAACUUCGUAUGGGGAUAUAGGGGACAAAACCUCACCAUAUUUAUGUUAAAAACAAACUUUUGUGUUAUGUAACAUAACUUAAGCUAUGUCAUGUUUAACGUUGUGAACGUUGGUGAACUUGAAACUAUGUUGGAAACUUGUAAACUUUGUUUGGAAAACAAUAUAUCUAUGGCAUCGUUUUUGUU